GCAAAAUGAGUGGUUCUGUUUGUUAAAAUGGAAGAAUGCACGAGUCUCAUCAUGCUUUUCCUUCGUUUUGUCUUUUUAUUGGGACAUUCUUCCAAUAUUUUCAAGAUCGCUAUGAGUAAAUCUUAUUUUUCCCUUUUUCCUCGAUUUCACGUGUGGAUCACUUCACAUUCUCCACUACCUUUGUCUGGAUCGGUGAUACUAGCCAAUUUCAAACUCCUUUGCAUCAUUUUACAAUUUGAAGAUGAAUUUUCGGGAUUUAUCGAAUGAUAAAGUCGUCGGGGUUAUUCAUGGGAGCACAUAUAGAUGUACCAUGAUGUGAUAUCGUGAUCCCAUUAACCUCAGAGAGCCAAAAUCACCGAAAGUUGUGUCUUUGUCUUAAUUGGUAAAUUCAACAGAUGUUUGUAUAAUGGUGGUAAUUGGUAAGAAGGAGACCCACAUGUUUUAAUUAUUAAAUUAUGUGUAUAUUUUCACUAUUUGUAUGAUUUAAAUUCAAAAUACAUAAAAGAAGAUAAUAGAAGAAAGUAAAUAUAAAAUUCAGAGUAU